GAGGAGAUGAUGAUUCCAUGUGAUGAUUCUGAUACAUUUCAUGUUUCAAAAUCGAGCUUUUUAAAACUAAUUCUCA
rfam:Triticum aestivum genome assembly, contig: Triticum_aestivum_CS42_TGACv1_scaffold_288770_4AL